AUGGACUAUAUGGAACUGGCUGAGAUGACCGGCAGAAUUCGAGAUCAGGAAGAAGGGUUGAUGGAAGAAGACUGGAAAAAAUUUAAAACAUAUCUUCAGAAACACUGCAAUAUAAAAGAAUGUUAGAAAAAGGUUGGAGAAGAAUAUUAGACCGUAUUGGCAGAUAGGGUAUAAUGGAAUAAGUAAACAUGAAGUGUAAAAUGAGGAUAGAGGAGAAUUAAGUACUUUCGAAUGUUAAAAUAAGUAAAAGAAAAGAAGGUUAGAAGGAUUUGCUGGUGAUACGAUUUAAACUAGAAUACAAAGCAGGGAGGUGAGAGGAAGUCAUGGAAACAAGUAAAUGGGAAAAUGGUUGUAAUGGUCUAAUUUGAUUUUUGUUAUUCUCUACUGUGAUUUUUUGUCUUUUUUAUUUCUUUUUUAUUGUCUGUUUUUUGUAAGAUGUAUGUGGUUUGUGUUUUUUCUUUUCUAUAUUUUUUUGUAACUUUAAAAUUGGAAUAAAUAUUCUU
rnacentral:lncRNA from 1 species